rnacentral:rRNA from 1 species
UACAGAGGGUGCGAGCGUUGUCCGGAAUCACUGGGCGUAAAGGGCGCGUAGGCGGUGACUUAAGCGUGUGGUGAAAGCUCGGGGCUCAACCCCGAGUCGGCCGUGCGAACUGGGUCACUGGAGCAUGUCAGAGGCAGGCGGAAUUCCGGGUGUAGCGGUGGAAUGCGUAGAGAUCCGGAAGAACACCGGUGGCGAAGGCGGCCUGCUGGGAUCUUGCUGACGCUGAGGCGCGACAGCGUGGGGAGCAAACAGG